AAGCCUAUACUUUCAGGGAUCAUUUCUAUAGUUACUUAUUAGAGAAGCAGCUCUGAAUGUGUACAAUCCCAGAAACCAUGAGGAGAACAUAAAGUGUUCUCUCCUGAGGUUGGACCUGACUUUUGAGUAUUGUUUUUGCAACUGUUCUUUGUCAUCAGUGAUGGUUCAUAUCACUACUAAACUGGCAUGAGGCAGAGGACAUGAUUGGAGUGAU